rnacentral:rRNA from 1 species
UUAGAGGAAGUAAAAGUCGUAACAAGGUUUCCGUAGGUGAACCUGCGGAAGGAUCAUUAAAGAAUUCCAAUGAUGGAGGGGAGGUAGGAAGGAGGAAGGACUGUUGCUGGCUGUUCUGGCGGCAUGUGCACGUCCCCUCUCCCCUUGCCUUCUUCUAUCAAUAGAUAUUACACCCACACCCCCUGUGCACCAAUUGUAGGUCGCGCCUCGAAAGAGGAGAUGGACCUAUGUUUUUCUUCAUCACACACGAAAAAUGUAUGGCCAGAAUGUAACAUUUAUGAAAUAAAAUACAACUUUCAGCAACGGAUCUCUUGGUUCUCGCAUCGAUGAAGAACGCAGCGAAUUGCGAUAAGUAAUGUGAAUUGCAGAUUUCCAGUGAAUCAUCGAAUCUUUGAACGCAUCUUGCGCUCCUUGGUAUUCCGAGGAGCAUGCCUGUUUGAGUGUCAUUUAAUUAUCAACCAUACUGUUCUUUCAUGAAAUGUGUAUGGCUUGGAGUUGGGGGUUGCUGGCAUUCCAUUCCUUGUCAGCUCUCCUUAAAUGCAUUAGCGAUCGAGUUGUGCCCAAAGUCUUUGACAUGCACGGCCUUUGACGUGAUAAUGAUCGUCGGGGCUGGAGUGUCUUUCCCCUAGACUAAUGGGUACAUGGAUUGCUUCCAAUCAGUCAAGCUUAGCUACUAGGCAGCCCUUGGGCUGGCGAACGCGAGCAAGAUAUAUAUAAUUUAAUGACUUGACCUCAAAUCAGGUAGGACUACCCGCUGAACUUAAGCAUAUCAU